GUCUAAUGGCCGCCUGUCGAAGGGUGGUACAGCCAAUUCCAGGGACUGUUGCUAGAGUAUUCUCGAGGCUGAAGGUCUGCGGAUAGAGUAUUUGAUUGGGGCAUUUCGGAAAUUGAAAGAGAAAGAGAAAAGAGAAGGAAAGGUUCUAUUUAUAUAACCAUCAACGGUCCUUUACCACAAAUAAAAGCACGUACGUGCAGGUUGAAAUUAGACUGCUACGUAUGCGCCUAAACAAGUUUCCUAAGAACUAUACCUUUGUUUCUGCAGAAAGGUAAUCACUGCAUGGGG